UGUGUGCUGACCCGAAAACAACACUUUAGAAGAUUAGGUCUUCUAACUAACAUGUAACAAACGGCAAAGCAUAACAAGUGAGAAAACCCAGUUCAUCAUCUUGGAGUGCCGCCGUCCCUCUCUUCCUCCCAUCUCCCUCUCAUUAAAUUUCUAUCCCAACUUAUCACCUCUUUAAUAUUUUGGAUUGAGUUCCUUACAACUGCUUCUUUGUUUUCUCCAUUCUUCAGAUCUACUGCUGCAGUCUUCAUUGUCUCACUUCUUCUAUUUUUCAGUUUUU
rnacentral:lncRNA from 1 species